rnacentral:rRNA from 1 species
ACCGGCAGCUAGCUGUCUGCAACUCUCACAUGGUCGCCCACUGAAGCUAAGCAGGGCUGCGCCUGGUCAGUACCUGGAUGGGAGACCACAUGGGAAAGCUAGGUUGCUGCCGGAA